GGUGAACGCUGGCGGCGUGCUUAAGACAUGCAAGUCGAACGGGCUCUUCGGAGCCAGUGGCGCACGGGUGAGUAACGCGUACCUGACCUACCCCAAAGUCGCGGAUAACGAUUCGAAAGAAUCGCUAAUACGUGAUGUGCUGUCAGAUCCUGUUCUGCCAGUAAAGAUUUAUUGCUUUGGGAUGGGGUUGCGUUCCAUCAGCUAGUUGGUGGGGUAAAGGCCCACUAAGGCGACGACGGAUCGCCGGCCUGAGAGGGUGGCCGGCCACAGGGGCACUGAGACACGGGUCCCACUCCUACGGGAGGCAGCAGUUAGGAAUCUUCCACAAUGGGCGAAAGCCUGAUGGAGCGACGCCGCGUGAGGGAUGAAGGUCGUCGGAUCGUAAACCUCUGAAUCAGGGACGAAAGACGCGAAAGCGGGAUGACGGUACCUGAGUAAUAGCACCGGCUAACUCCGUG
rnacentral:rRNA from 1 species